GACGAACGCUGGCGGCGUGCCUAAUACAUGCAAGUAGAACGCUGAAGAGAGGAGCUUGCUCUUCUUGGAUGAGUUGCGAACGGGUGAGUAACGCGUAGGUAACCUGCCUGGUAGCGGGGGAUAACUAUUGGAAACGAUAGCUAAUACCGCAUAAUAGUAGAUGUUGCAUGACAUUUGCUUAAAAGGUGCAAUUGCAUCACUACCAGAUGGACCUGCGUUGUAUUAGCUAGUUGGUGAGGUAACGGCUCACCAAGGCAACGAUACAUAGCCGACCUGAGAGGGUGAUCGGCCACACUGGGACUGAGACACGGCCCAGACUCCUACGGGAGGCAGCAGUAGGGAAUCUUCGGCAAUGGACGGAAGUCUGACCGAGCAACGCCGCGUGAGUGAAGAAGGUUUUCGGAUCGUAAAGCUCUGUUGUAAGAGAAGAACGAGUGUGAGAGUGGAAAGUUCACACNGNGACGG
rnacentral:rRNA from 1 species